UUUCUCCAGUUUGUUACAGUUUUCAGUUCAAAAGAUUCAAAUCGAUCGCUACGAUCCUUUCGAAGUCACGCCAUCCAUGAACGAAAGACUCGAGCAUCUUCGCUCAUUUACCGUCUAUGACAAGAUAUCUUAUUGAUCGAAAGGACGACGCUGUGCUAGGCUUGUGGACAAUGAAACCUGUGCCAGAAAUCGAAAGGGAAAAAUUAUGGUCAACCGGUGUUGCCAUCUCGUGGAAGUAUCGUGCACGUUUCAAACUAUUCGACGUUACAUUUCAACUGAUUGUUCAUAACAAAUAAGUUUCUUAUUUCUUACAAGUCUGAAACUACCUUAUAAAUUUGUCAAUAUUUGUAUGAACGUUGUAAAUGUAUACAUGAACUGUAAUUUUUAACAAAAUAACAUCCAGUGAUGCGAGAAAACAAA